UACGUAGGGACCAAGCGUUGUUCGGAUUUACUGGGCGUAAAGGGCGCGUAGGCGGCGUGGUAAGUCACUUGUGAAAUCUCUGAGCUUAACUCAGAACGGUCAAGUGAUACUGCUGUGCUAGAGUGCAGAAGGGGCAAUCGGAAUUCUUGGUGUAGCGGUGAAAUGCGUAGAUAUCAAGAGGAACACCUGAGGUGAAGACGGGUUGCUGGGCCGAUACUGACGCUGAGGAGCGAAAGCGUGGGGAGCGAACAGG
rnacentral:rRNA from 1 species